ACUCAAAGGAAUAGACGGGGGCCCGCACAAGCGGUGGAGCAUGUGGAUUAAUUCGUCAUUAACCGAAGAACCUUACCAGGGUUUGACAUCCCCGGACCGGCGGUGAAAGCCGUCUUCUCUCUGGGCAACCAGGGAGCCGGGAGACAGGUGUUGCAUGGCUGUCGUCAGCUCGUGUCGUGAGAUGUUGGGUUAAGUCCCGCAACGAGCGCAACCCUCACUGCCGGUUGCCAGCACGCAAGGUGGGCACUUUGGCAGAACUGCCCCGGCAACGGGGAGGAAGGUGGGGAUGACGUCAAGUCGGCAUGGCCCGUAUAUCCUGGGCUUCACACAUGCUACAAUGGGGAGGACAGAGGGCAGCAAGAGCGCGAGCUGGAGCCAAUCCCACAAACCUCUCCUCAGUUCGGAUUGCAGGCUGCAACUCGCCUGCAUGAAGUCGGAAUCGCUAGUAACCGCCGGUCAGCGAUACGGCGGUGAAUACGUACCCGGGCCUUGUACACACCGCCCGU
rnacentral:rRNA from 1 species